UGAGGCAGGAGAAUUGCUUGAACCCAGGAGGUGGAGGCUGCAGUGAGCCGAGAUUCUGCCACGGUACUCCAGCCUGGGUGACA
rnacentral:miRNA from 1 species